CAUGGAGGGUGAGAAUCCCGUUCAUGGUUAAUCUUAAGGAAGCUCUACGAUACGUUUUCCAAGAGUCGAGUUGUUUGGGAUUGCAGCUCAAAAUGGGGGGUAAAUUUCUCCUAAGGCUAAAUAUUGGCGAGAGACCGAUAGCGAACAAGUACCGUGAGGGAAAGAUGAAAAGAACUUUGAAAAGAGAGUUAAACAGUACGUGAAAUUGUUGAAAGGGAAACGAUUGAAGUCAGUCAUACCAACGGGAAAUCAACCUUUUGAGCUCGGUCUCGUGGGUUUUGAAGAGUUUCAAAGCCUUCGGAUUCGCGGGAUUGGGAUCUCUUGGUGUACUUUUUCGUACGGUUAGUCAACAUCGGUUUUGAAUGUCAUAAAAUGACUGGAGGAAUGUAGCUUCGAUCUCGUAUUGAAGUGUUAUAGCCUUUGGUAGAUGUGAUGUUUGAGACCGAGGAUUGCAACGGAUACCCUUUAGGGCUAUUCGUCUGAUCUCUGAUACGUUGCCUUGAUGUUGAAAGCUUGCUUAUGAUGUUAGGGUAUUACGGUCAAAAGGUUAGAACGGAUUAGAUUCGUUAAGGAUGUUGACGUA
rnacentral:rRNA from 1 species